rnacentral:rRNA from 1 species
UAUGUGAUCGUCUCUCGCAUAUCAAUAAGCGGAGGAAAAGAAACUAACAAGGAUUCCCCUAGUAACGGCGAGUGAAGCGGGAAGAGCUCAAAUUUGAAAUCUUAAAGGGUUUCCCUUUACGAAUUGUAGUUUAAAGAAGUGUUUUCUGUUGAGGUUUUGGUAAAAGUUCUUUGGAAUAGGACAUCAUAGAGGGUGAGAAUCCCGUAUUUGACCUUUACUUUCAACUUUGUGAUACACUUUCAAAGAGUCGGAUUGUUUGGGAAUGCAGUCCAAAAUGGGUGGUAAAUUUCAUCUAAAGCUAAAUAUUGGCGAGAGACCGAUAGCGAACAAGUACCGUGAGGGAAAGAUGAAAAGAACUUUGAAAAGAGAGUUAAACAGUACGUGAAAUUGUCAAAAGGGAAGCGUUUGACACCAGUGUUGUUUUUCUGAAAAUCAAUUAAAGAACUGUUUAUGCUAAGUUGUUUAGACUUUAUCAGCUAAUCUGCUUAGUUUUGAGCUUUUCUUUAAUGCACUUUUCAGUUAACAAGUCAACAUCAAUUUCUUUUGCUGUAAAAAAGCUUGAGGAAGGUGGCUUGAGAUUCGUCUUAAGUGUUUAUAGCCUCUUGCCUAUGCAGUCGGAGAGAUUGAGGUCUGCAGCGUAGAUCCUUCGGGGCUAAAUGCAUUUGUGCUAAGUUAUAGCAUUUUAUAGACAACUUGUUGACUAUGAUUUGUCUUGUAGCUUACUCGCUUAUGUUAUUUUACCUACGCUUAGGAUGUUGAAGUCAUCUAUCGCGC